UUGGAGGGCAAGUCUGGUGCCAGCAGCCGCGGUAAUUCCAGCUCCAAUAGCGUAUAUUAAAGUUGUUGCAGUUAAAAAGCUCGUAGUUGAAUUUCGGGAUCAGUACGUUGGUCGUGCCUUAGGUACGUACUGGUGUUACUGGUUCCUACCUUCUGACGAACCAUCAUGUCAUUCAUUUGGUGUGGCGGGGAAUCAGGACUGUUACUUUGAAAAAAUUAGAGUGUUUAAAGCAGGCUCGCGCUUGAAUACAUUAGCAUGGAAUAAUGAAAUAGGACGUUGAUCCUAUUUUGUUGGUUUCUAGGAUUGACGUAAUGAUUAAUAGGGAUAGUUGGGGGCAUUAGUAUUCAAUUGUCAGAGGUGAAAUUCUUGGAUUUAUUGAAGACUAACUACUGCGAAAGCAUUUGCCAAGGAUGUUUUCAUUAAUCAAGAACGAAAGUUAGGGGAUCGAAGACGAUCGGAUACCGUCGUAGUCUUAACCAUAAACUAUGCCAACUAGGGAUCGGAUGAUGUUAAUUUUUUAAUGACUCAUUCGGCGCCUUACGGGAAAC
rnacentral:rRNA from 1 species